AAAACUCCCGGGGAAAACCUUGGCGGACAGGGGGACCGGAGCAUCAGUCACCGCUCCGGCGUUUAAGAGAAGUAAUCAGCGAUAAAGUGACGUUGAUCUGCACUGUAACCUUGUGGCGUAUUUAAUUCAGUUGGAUGGUGCAGAUGAUUCUCCAACUCAACUCUACAGGAAGAAACGUCAAACUCUUCUCAAAAUCUUGAAGAGCAGGGUUACUACUUGCAGGCACAGGUGCUGUCAAGGGAGGACUCUGUUAACAAGACUGAUCAAAAUUGUUUAAUUGUUUUCCCCAGCACCUCAUAGACAUCAUUAUUUGGGCUGGGAUGGCCCAAAUUGCACCACAAAGAGAUAUUAUAGAUCCAUGAGCUCAGUGAAUCCUAAAGACAAGAGACCUUCUCAUUUUGUUGACACAGUGACAGGCUCCAGCACCUAAGCAAUGAAUACUGGCUAGCUGGGAUUCAGAAAAAUCUCAGAUUUGAGCUUGGGGAGAGUUUGCUCCAACAUAUCUCAGAAUUCAGAGUAUUUUCAGGCACCAUCAGCACUUCUGUAGUUACCCCCAGUAUUCCUUCCCAUUUCUCCCCAUUUUUACUGUUCCUUUUUCUUCAGUACUAUUUCCUUUUUCUUUUAUUGCAUCCAGGGAAAGGUCUUUUCUCUCCAAAGCCUUUGUGCUCUCAAUUUUCCUUAGCUACUUCUCCAACUUCUUUGGCUGGUUGUACUCCUUUCUGUGCGUCCUCUACGAGUGGGCAGGAAUACUCUGCCUCUUCAAAACAAGCUCUACCACUGCACCUGCCCCUUGAAAGGGUCACUCUGGGUGUCCAGGUACAGAAACAAGACCAAAAAGUUCUGCUUAAACUGAUGCUGAAGAACAUGAAAAACAAUUUCCUGGAGGAGAAAAUGAUAUGCCUGGUUUUGUCAUUAGGGAGGCUCCACCAUAUUAUGCUGUAG
rnacentral:lncRNA from 1 species